ensembl:lncRNA
AGCAUCUCAGCUUCAGCUGCACUCGCUGGAAAACAGUAGAACUACAACAGAAAAUAUGUUCUGGAUUAGAAUCACCAUCGUUUGCAUGUGCAUAUCCCUGCUGGAAGCCCAUAAGGAGUGUGCAAGACACAUAAAAUGGGUGCAUCUCAUUCAGUCAUUAAAUUCAAUGGGCACUGCGAUAUCUCACGACUGUGCAUUUGAUUAUGAAGAAGCCAGUUUGUGUGAUCCACGUCACCUGGCCAAUAUGGUGGAUCAUAAUGCAAUUCUUCUGGUCGACAUUGUCAAGAAAACAGAAACAAUGUACAGGGAGAAUCCAAACCCACAGACGUUUAUUGAGGCCCUUCAUCACACCCGUCACACCCUGAGCAACUGUAUUCAUCACUCUGACAAUGCUGAAAAUGAGCCUGUGACCACAUGCUUCAACAAAUUAGAAGCUUUUCUUAAGAAAAAGUCCCACUCGCAAUGUGCAUGGGAAAUUAUUAAUUCAAAAGUGAGGGAGGUUCUUCAGAGGCUGGAGAAACGCUCUGUCAGAGAUCGGCGUUAGAGACUUUAUCAUGCAUGUAUUAAUGCUUAUAUUUAAUUGCAAAAAAGGUGACAUUUUAUAAGCUUGAUGGAUAUAUGUAUAUAUUUUAAGAAAUGCACAUUAUAUACAAAAUGUUUCAAAUUCAUGAUUUAUUGAGUUUAUUGCUGUA